rnacentral:rRNA from 1 species
ACAGGUGCUGCAUGGCUGUCGUCAGCUCGUGUCGUGAGAUGUUGGUUAAGUCCCGCAACGAGCGCAACCCUUGUCACUAGUUGCCAUCAUUUAGUUGGGCACUCUAGUGAGACUGCCGGUGACAAACCGGAGGAAGGUGGGGAUGACGUCAAGUCCUCAUGGCCCUUAUGGGUAGGGCUUCACACGUCAUACAAUGGUCGGUACAGAGGGUUGCCAAGCCGCGAGGUGGAGCCAAUCCCUUAAAGCCGAUCGUAGUCCGGAUCGUAGUCUGCAACUCGACUACGUGAAGUCGGAAUCGCUAGUAAUCGCAGAUCAGCAUGCUGCGGUCGAAUACGUUCCCGGGCCUU